GCAAGUCGAACGCGAACGUCACUUCGGUGGCUAGUAGAGUGGCGAACGGGUGAGUAACACCUGGACAACAUGCCUGGCUGUGGGGGAUAAAUUGGGGAAAACGAAGCUAAUACCGCAUUCGCUCGAGGAUCGCAUGGUCCUCGCGGAAAGACCGCCUAUUCUUGAAAGCGGUUGCAUUCAGAGGGGUCCGCGGCUGAUUAGCUAGUUGGUGGGGUAACGGCCUACCAAGGCGACGAUCAGUAGCCGGCCUGAGAGGGCGAUC
rnacentral:rRNA from 1 species